UUUGUGGUAUUUCUGGAUCCUUACCAAGGCAGUGAUGGUAUAUGCCUUCUCUCAAAGUAUGUGGUAUUUGUGGUAUAAGGCAUAGUGACAUUGCCUUCUCUCUCACCCUACUCUAAUAAGGCUUUAAUAUCUGGAGCUCAUAGGUGGGAGAUAAAGUAUACAUACUUACAAGACAUUUAUUGUAUAGUCAAACCAUGGAUCCAAAGAAACAAGUCAAUAAAUCAAAUCAAGAUGUGCAUGUGUGGCGAAUGAAUGGUGUAUGGUGAUAACAGUGAAAACAAUGGUGAAAGUCUAAUUCUACUUUUGCUCUUUUGAGGGGAUACAUACCUUCCUUGCUCUUUUGAAACUUUUUGAGGAGAGUGAGAUGCUCUAUAUUUUCUUUUUCUUUCCUCUCAGGUGGGUAUUUAGUACCCCUAAUUCUACUGUCGGACACUUGUCCAUUUUUACCUCUCGUCUCACUUUUUUUUUCUUUCGAGGUUCCGGACACUUGCCCCUUUUUAUUUCCUCGUAUUUUUUUAGAGCACUCAUCUCCUAAAAUAAUAUAGCAAGUGGUAGUAACCAAGAUAACUUGAGCAUUUAUUUCACCGGGGAAAACAGAAAUGUUUUUGGCUAUUCUCUCCCGGAUUAGGAGUAGAAUACUUUUGGGUGGUUCUAGAGAUGGAAAUGAGUGGAUAUAUGUGGAUGCGUACUUCUGGAGUAGAAGCAACAUGUAUGAGUGAACGUGCAAGUGAAUCUUGAUUUAACCACAUGACAAGCUCCUAAGGGUCUACACAGCUUGACCACACUCAAUGCUCAUAAGCAGUAAAAAAGUAAAUGUGUGGCUCAAAGUCUAGCAACCAUGUAUAUAUGGUUGUGGUAGGAAUUUAAACUCUUAUCAUACAGGAACUCAUCAUGCAAUAUUUUAAAGAUCUUUCAAAGAUAAAAUUCUCCAAAAUUCUAGUAUCUCUAGGAACAGAUAAAUAGCAGCCCAACCUUCCCAUAUCAUAUCCGUUAACAACUUAGACUUCAGAUCAAGUUCUCUUCCCACAAGUUCAGGUUUAGUGCAAGCUUUAAAUUAUAGCAUUUAUGUCUAAACUUGAGAGAGAACUCAAAUUUGAAAAUUAGGCAGGGCAACUAUUCAUCAUAUCCAUGCUAGAGUUUUAUUAUUAAGAUUCAGUUUAGCAUAGCCACUUUAUUUAUCUAUUAAACACACUAAGCAAAAGAUAUAUAUAUAUAUAAGCAUAAAAUCUUUAUUUGGUUUUCCAUAGUUAUUUAUAUAUUAAUAUUGUAUAAGUAUAAAGAUAGAUAGAAAUACUUAGCGGGAUAAAUGGGGGUGCUCUCCCCCAAGCUGAAUUUUGACGUAAUUUCUCUGAUGUAGCUAGCAAGUGGCAGAGGUGUAUUUGAAAGUCGGCGGUAUCCUGACAGCGAUUAGAAUGUCCUCCGUGUGCUAGUCUUCUUGAUCCUUAAAUUCUGUGGAGCUCAAAUAGACAAUAAAGCUUUGUGGAACUUGUUUAAGUGUUAGCAUAAAUAUCUAGCCUUUAUCAUGUUGAGCCUCCUCAAUAAAUAUUACUCCCUAUUUUUAUAUUUUCAUUUUUAUAAAGCAGAAAAAUAUUUAUUUUAUUUUUAUGCCACCACGGUGAAUGUACUUAUGGGUUUUAUGCCACUCGUCUACUCACAUGGGGCUUACUUGUCACACCCAAAUUUAAGGAUAAAUUUGAGUACAUUAAUCUCAUGUGCGCCCCAGGAAUAGUCGCGCACACAAGUCGACAAAUUACAAAUGUAUCAUCACAAGUGUCUUACAUAUCGUUAUUACAACACAAAUAUAUCAAAGUCUGCGACAAACGGAAAAUAAACUCAUACUAGCUAUGAAAGAUAACUCCAACACAGGGACGACCGACUGGGGGAUCGCCAACCUAGAAGUCCUCAGGGAAUUCCUCGUAGAAGCUGUCAUCUGUUACCCAUCCGGGAUUUUGUCCAAAAAGAAAGAUAAAGAUAAGCGUGAGUACAUCUCAUACUCUGCAAGCAUAACAUAGGAUUUUAUGCGGCUCAAAAAGGUCAGACACUGGCUACUGCAGUUAGCAUUUUAAUUGGUCAAUGUUUUAAUCCUAUUUAAUCAUCAAUUAUGCUUAAGCUCCCGAUUAGCCCAAAUGAGCACAUGAUAAUAACACCGUUAACCUUCACGGCUAACACCAUCACCAUCACGGUUAAACCACAUUAAUCAUCACGAUCAAUGCGUCAGAUUUUCAUAAGUUAUUUCCCAUAACCAUCCACACCCAACUAUUCCGUAAGGGUCCAAGGCCGCUCAUGUCCGAGAGCACGGCUAGUAUACCAGUUUGAUCAAACUCUGCGCAGAGGUGUGCACUUUUCCCGUAAGUCACGUUACCCAUAUGCCCGGGGUUUGCAAGACCCACUAACACUGCCAAGGUGAGCGGGCAGGGAACACUAUGAAGCCUUCCGUAGGCCACGUCUAACCAGUUAGGGUCGCGAGGUUUCCUCGGCAGGCAGAUAUAGAGAACCCCCCUUUCCUAUGGCACAUUUCCAUCACGGCUAUACACAUAGGAACAGAAGCAGUUCUAUACCCAAAGUGGCAAGCCCCUCUUGCGCCCUUUCGGGUAACCUCUAACCAGCUAGAUGAGAUCCUAUUACUGAGCUAAAGUUAGAGCCAUAUAACCAUCACGGUUGCACUGUAAGUCCCGGAUUAUCGCUUACAAAGAAGUCCUUACGGAGGGUCUAGGUCAACCCGACCGAAGUCAAUUGCACCAUAGCCCUUUUUCCCAAUAUUUAUCAUCAUAUUUAUUAAAGUCAGAGUGAUACUAAAGUCUCAAUUAAUUAAAGCACUAGCAAAGCUAUCCACAUGCAUUCUUCCCAUAGGUGUCAUAUGUGUUUAGUCAGGUAGCUAGGAUAUCCUUAGGGUUAUCAAAAUUAGACACAUGCAAAUGCGUAAUUAAAUAAGUGAAUAGGUGUACAAGGGAAACCCAUGCUAUACUUGCCUUCAGUGAAGGGGAACUGCUGCUGGUCCUGCUGCUCCUCAUAGUAAAAUGGAUCACCCGCGGACACGUCACCGUCUGCGCUCGAUCGGUACCACACAACAACACGCAUCCAGGUUCAUUCAUACAAGCAAACAAUCAUUUAAUUAGAACCAUACACCAACAGAUCAAAAAUGAAAUAAAAUAUUUAAAAACAGAACCUACGAUUCGCUACGAUCACAUAGAUACGAAGAUCACGAAAAUCGGAGCUAAAACGACCAAGUUACGACUUUUCGGCGAUUUCCUAUAGGCAAUUAAUUAAUUAAACCUAACCCUGAAAAUAAAAAGUGGCAAACUAUAGAAACAGUGGUACUAUCAUGUAGAGAAUUUAAAUACGAAUCUAACGCAAUUCGAACGGGUCAAAUCGGAGCUAUAACAAAUAUUUUAUGGCCAAAACAUGUUCAGUGGCAUUUCUGUAAUUUCCUAAAAGCGUAUUUUGACCUAAAUCGACAGAGUUUACGUUUUCCAACAGAGAAAGCGUAUUCACUCGAAGGCGCUAAGGACUGCGGCCGAAUUUGGAAAUCUGGGAGGGGCUCUUUAAGCAAAUUUUCCCCCGAAGGGGUAUGGUGCGCUGAGGGCCGUCAGAUCGCGAACGGACGGCCGAGAUUAGAGAAAGGGGGAAAAGAGAGAGAGGGGCGGCGCUCCUGGCCGGAGGGAAAGGAGGGCGCGGCGGCGGCCAUUGCUGGCCGACCCAAGCUCGCCGGCGAAAUUCGAUAGGGCGCUACGGGGCAUGGUUUUGCGAACCGAAACUACCAGGAGAGAGAGGAGGUCGCGGCGAACUCGAUUCCAAGCUUAGCGCGGCUGGGGAGACCACGCGUGGCCCGCUCCAUGGCCGGCGGCCAUGGAGCUCGACGGAGUUCGCCGAAACCGACCCCAGCGACCAUGAAACGGAACGAAACGAGCACCGGGAGGAAGCGAGGAAGGAGGCGAUGCUCACCCAGGGGACGAAACGCGGCAAAAGGGCUCCAAACGGAGGAACGACGCGCGACGGCGCUUGCUGCUCCGGCAGUUUCUUUUCUGCGCUAGAAUGAGUGGAAAACGGAGGCGAGGAGGGGGAAUGGGGGAGAAAGAACAGGGCUCGGGCGCGGGGCUCUUCAAAAGCUUCCGAGGCGCGGGGAAAAAGGGAGAGGGGGAUCGUGGGCGCGGGGCUCGGCCAGGGCGGUUUCCAACUGAGAGGAAGGAGCGGGGCGUCGGUUGGGAGAAGAGGGAGCUGACAGGCGGGCCCGGCCUGUCAGUGGGGGAAGAGAGAGAGGGGAAGGGGGAAGGCCGGCUGGGCCGCAGCCCAGGAAGGAUAUGGGGCGCGCGGGGUGGGUUGCUGGGCUACCAGGCCGAAAAGAGGAAGGGGGAGAGAGGGAAAGGAUUUUCUUUCUUUUUUUAUACACAAUUUCCAAAUGAAUUUCUUUUCUUCAAAUAUUUUCUUGAGCAAGAUAUUUUGGUUUUAAAAACAAUCAUCACAAAAGAAAUGCUCCAGCAUGAAUGCAACAUAAAUGUUUCUCUAAGCUCACAUUAAAUUUUAAUUUCUUAAAAUUUAUUUAUUUUCCUAUAUUGAAAAUGCUCACAAAAUAAAUUCAUUUAAAUUCAUUUCAUCUAUUUAAAAGAAACAAAAUUUUUUGGGUGUUACAAAUCUACCCCCCUUAAAGAUAAUCUCGUCCUCGAGAUUGAGACGGUGCUUACUCAAAGAGAUACGGAUAAGAUUGUCUCAACUCAUCUUCUCUUUCCCAAGUGGCUUCUUCUUCUCUAUAUCGGUGCCACUGCACUUUGCACAUCUUUAUAACCCGACUCCGGGUGACUCUUUCCACGGUUUCUAAGAUCUUGAUUGGAUAUUCCUCAUAAGUUAGAUCUCCUUCAACUGUGAGUUCCUCCAAUGGAAUUUGUUCCUCAGGAACUCGCAAACAUUUCUUCAGUUGCGACACAUGGAACACAUCGUGAAUACCCGACAUACUCGCAGGCAACUCUAACUGAUAGGCCACUUCUCCACGUCUCCUAAGAAUUCUGAACGGUCCAACGUACCUCGGUGCCAAUUUUCCCUUCAUAUUAAACCUCCUGACACUUCUCAUAGGUGACACCUUCAAAUACACAGAGUCGCCUAUCUCGAAUGCCAAUUCUCUUCUUCUAGUACCCGCAUAACUCUUUUGCCGAGACUGGGCUACUUUCAAAUUGUCCCGUAUUUUCCGCACUUUUCCUCUGCAUCUCUAAGAACAUCAGGUCCAAAUACUUGACUCUCGCCAGUCUGAUUCCAAAACAGAGGUGUUCUACAUUUCCGCCCAUACAAUGAUUCAAACGGUGCCAUAUCAAGACUUUUCUGGUAACUAUUAUUAUAUGAAAAUUCAGCAUAUGGUAAACUAGUGUCCCAACUGGUACCAUACUGUAACGCACACGCUCUCAACAUGUCUUCUAGAAUCUGAUUUACUCUUUCGGUCUGCCCAUCAGUUUGGGGAUGAUACGCGGAACUAAAGUUCAACUUUGUUCCCAAUGAUUCAUGUACUUUAUGCCAAAACUGAGAUGUGAAUUGUGUGCCCCGAUCAGACACGAUCUUCUUCGGAACUCCGUGCAGACUCACGAUUCUAUCCAUAUAUAACUUUGCCAACUUUGCACCAUCAUAGUUGGUCUUAACGGGCAAAAAGUGAGCAACUUUAGUGAGUCGAUCCACUAUUACCCAAAUUGAAUCAUACCCACGCUGAGUGCGGGGCAACCUAGUGAUGAAAUCCAUACCUACUUCUUCCCAUUUCCAUUCGGGCACUUGCAUUGGCUGCAACAACCCUGCAGGUCUUUGGUGCUCGGCUUUCACCCUCUGACAAGUAUCACAUAACGCUACAUACUCUGCCACAUCUCUCUUUAAUCCAUACCACCAGUAUUUUUCUUUAAGAUCUAGAUACAUCUUGGUGCUUCCGGGGUGAAUUGAAUAUGCAGAGUCAUGUGCUUCCCACAGGAUUGCAUCUCGGAUGGAUUUUACUUCGGGCACACAUAUUCUCUUCCCAAACCAUAGUGUACCAUUUUCAUCUAACUUGAAACCCGGUGCUUUUCCAAGCACUACAUUCUCUGAAAUUUCUUUUAGUUUCUCAUCUUCCAACUGACCUUUGCGGACUUCUUGUUCUAAGGUGGGCUCCAACUCCAAUUCAACAGUGUUGUUCACUAAACCCAAAUUGAGAUGCUCUAUUUCAGCUAGCAACUCUGUGGGAAUGAAGGUCAAUUGCAGCCCAUUGGCAUAGCUCUUUCGGCUAAGUGCAUCGGCAACAACGUUUGCCUUCCCGGGAUGGUAAUGCACUUCCAGGUCAUAAUCCUUUAUUAAUUCUAGCCAGCGGCGUUGCCUUAGGUUCAGGUCUGACUGUGUGAAAAUAUACUUCAAACUUUUGUGAUCCGUAUAAAUAUCACACUUGUGUCCAAUUAGAUAAUGCCUCCAAAUCUUUAGAGCGUGAACCACGGCAGCUAGCUCCAAAUCAUGAGUAGGAUAGUUCAGCUCAUGUUUUCUCAACUGUCUGGAUGUGUACGCCACUACUCUUCCUUCUUGCAUAAGCACACAUCCAAGGCCUAGGCGAGAUGCAUCGCAAUAAAUAGAGAAGGUUUUGCUCAGAUCUGGCAAGAUCAACACUGGAGCUGUGGUCAACCUUUUCUUUAGCUCCUCAAAAUUUUCUUGGCACUUAUCUGACCAAAUAAAUUUGGCACUCUUCUCUAGUAGGGCUGUCAUGGGCUUUGCUAACUUAGAGAAGCCUUCAAUAAACCUCCUAUAAUAACCAGCUAGUCCCAAAAAGCUACGGAUCUCACUAGCAUUGGUUGGAGGCUUCCAAUUUAGCACAUCUCGCACUUUGCUGGGGUCUACGGCUAUUCCACCGUUGGAGACCACAUGUCCCAAAAAUGAGACCUCAUCCAACCAAAACUCACACUUGCUUUUCUUGGCAUACAAUUUAUUCUCUCUAAGCUUUUGCAAGACCAGCCUCAAGUGUUCAGCAUGUUCUUCUUUGGUUUUGGAGAAGAUUAAUAUAUCAUCAAUGAAUACUACCACGAACUUAUCCAAAUACUCCAUGAACACCUUGUUCAUCAUAUACAUGAAGUAUGCAGGUGCAUUGGUCAGCCCAAAUGACAUGACUGUAUACUCAUACAAGCCAUACCUUGUGGUAAAAGUUGUCUUAGGUAUGUCAGUUGCACGGAUUUUCAACUGGUGAUAGCCAGAUCGAAGGUCAAUUUUGGAGAAUACACAUGCUCCUUUCAGUUGGUCAAAUAAGUCAUCUAUUCUAGGCAGUGGGUACUUGUUUUUAAUAGUGACUUCAUUUAAUGAUCGAUAAUCCACACACAUCCUUCUAGUGCCAUCUUUCUUAUCAACAAAGAUCACUGGUGCACCCCAUGGUGAAGAACUAGGACGAAUAAACCCUUUUUCUUGCAAUUCCUUAAGCUGUUUCUUAAGUUCCUCUAAUUCAUUUACCCCCAUUCUAUAUGGUCUUUUUGCUAUGAGUGCAGUUCCAGGUAAAAGCUCAAUAAGAAAUUCAAUGUCUCGGUCUGGUGGCAUACCUGGCAACUCAUCUGGGAAAACAUCGGGGAACUCGUCCACCACCUGGUCUUCUUGAUUACCACCACUCAACUGAUUCACUGUAGCAGUCGGCUGAGGCUGCACUGCCACAUCCACACUUAUUCUAUCCCCACCUGGUGAUGUCACCACCACAGCCCUCUCUUGACACUGUAUUACUGCCUCAUGCUGCUUCAUCCAAUCCAUACCAAGUAUGAGGUCAAUUCCCAUGGUUCUUAGCACAAUAGGUUUCACCUUGAAAUCUACCCCCCUUAGAGAUAUACUAGUGGAGGGGCUCCAGUAAUUAGCUGGCAUGGUGCCUCCCGGUGAAUUUACUAGCAUGGAAUUUUUCAGUGCACAAAGUGGGAUGCUAUGCACUCUAACAAAAGCUUGGGAGAUAAAAGAAUGUGAAGCACCAGAAUCAAACAGUACUGUAGCGGGGAUGGAGUUGAUGUUGAACGUACCCAUCAUAACCUCAGGUGCUUCCUGAGCUGUGUCAGUGGACACAUGGUUCACUUUCCCAGAGAACGGAGGUCGAGCAGGCCUCUGAUUGUUGUUCUGGUUUUGCUGGGCUGGUGGAUUCUGCUUCUUGGGGCACUGGUAGGCAUAGUGUCCCACCUCUCCGCAGCGGUAACAGGCAUUGGGAUUGCCGCUGGGUGCCACACUCUUGCCAGGAGCAUUGUUGGGCACUCCUUGGCGUGGUGCCUGGUUGCUGACCUGUUGCUGGGGGCGCUGCUGACUCUGAUUGCCAUACUGCUGUUGGGGGUGUUGUUGGUUUUGGUGGCUGUACUGCUGGUGGUACUGAGGACGCUGUGGAAACUGACUCCGGUUCCACUGAUUCGGCGGUCCUUGACUGCGCUGAGGGAAUCCCUGCUGAGGGUACGCACGUGGGCGAGUGUUGCUGCCCGACGGCUGCCCCUGGAGCUUUCUCUUCUUCGCAUCCAUCUCCUUGCGCUUGUUGUCGAUGACAAUUGCGCGGUUCACCAAUUCUUGGAAACAAGGGUAGGUGUUGCUCAUCAGCUGCAGCUGCAGUCCAUCAUACAGACCCUUCAGGAAGAGACGCUGCUUGUCAGAGUCCCUGGCCACCUCAUAUGGAGCAUAUCGUAACAGUUGUGCAAACUUGUCAUGAUAUUCACUGACUGACAUCGAUCCCUGCUUGAGGGACCGGAACUCUUCCGCUUUCAGUUCUAUCAGGCCCUUUGGAAUGUGAUGGGACCUGAACCCUUCCGUAAACUCCUUCCAGGUGACUGGCGGAGCGUUGUUCGGGCGUCCAUAUUGAUAGGACUCCCACCACUCCUGUGCAGGUCCUUGCAGCUGGCCUGAUGCGUAUAGCACUUUCUCCAGGUCGCUGCAUUGGGCAAUGUUCAGCUGCUUCUCGACUGCUUUUAACCAGUCGUCUGCCUCCAGUGGAUCAGAGGCAUGGGUGAACACUGGAGGGCGUCCUUUCAAGAACUCCCCUCGCUUGUCACGGAGUUGAACCGGCGGUGGUGCUGCUACUGGUUCAUUGUUCAUACGGUUCAUCAUGGCUUGCAUCAAAUUAGCUUGCAUACCCAUAAGCUGCUCAAUAGUCAUCGGCGGCGGUGGUGGUGGUGGAUUCUCAGGUACACCACGUCCACGGCCACGACCACGGCCACGGCCACGUCCACGACCAGCGGCUGCUCCUUCGGCGUCCAUCUGCUUCCAACAAAGAUUCAGGGCUUUUAGUGAUCUUCCAAAAUAAUUAUUCAUCGCUUAUAAUGAAUAAAAACAAGUCUAGCAGUUUUCUGGACAAGUUUCAAACUCAGCAGGUCAGUAAUCCGUGCUUAUCUCAGAACCUACAGAUCCAAAAGGAAUAUGGUAUACAUCGUUGGAAAGGUUAAGAAAUUCUCUACAAACUUUAUUCAGACCACAUUUACUGAUUCCAACAGUAACAUAAUCAAAAUUGUGAUUCAUCAGGUUCUGCUCUGGUUCUCAGUCUGCGCAGGUACAGCAGAUUAAAACGGACAUAUCUCAUAGAUCCGAACAGAUAAUGAGGUGAUUCUAGUUGGAGAUGAAAGAUAUACCAGUCUAGUUUUCACCCUAAAAAUUUCGUAAUUUUGGACUGAACCGAUAAUGAGAUACUGAAUAAGCAUCACAGACUGCUCCAGAAACAGCAUGACUGAGACAAGAUAAAGUAACCCAACCUCGAAUUUAAACAACAUUACUUCUAAGAUUAAGGUUUAGAAACAUGCGGACAGGCCCACAUGUUUCCACAAUCAAACAAAACUCCAAAUCAUAAAUGUUCAUCAACACAAACAGCAACUCACUAAAGUUCACAUGCCAUACAUUACCGAAAUACUCGUGCUAGCGUCAAUCUAGAAAGUACUGGGAAAAUCUAAGGAGCUCUAUCCUGGAGAACGAACUUGCGGGGCUUCUUCUUGUAGAUGGGUGGCUGUCCAAGCUGACCACGCAGCUCAUCCACCUGACGCUGGAGGCGCUUCCCCGCCUGCUGCGCAACACGCAGCUCCUGCCUCAGUGCCCCAUUCAUCUCCUGAAUGACACUGACGUGUCUCACAGUCGUAUCCAGGGUAGGGUCGCCGGCAGGAGGUGCCAGGACGUGCCAUGUCUUGCCAUCUGGGUCGUUGCGGGGAAGGAACCGGUACCUGUCCUCCUGCAUGGCCUCAAAAUGGCGGCCAUGGUAGUGAAAAUACGCGGCCUGAGCUGCAUCCUCCAUGCUCUCGUAGGCGGAAGCACGUCUAACCCUGCUCUCGUGGAUGGACUCCACCUCGUCCGAGUUGUCGACGUUGUUCCGAGCUGUGAUGAUCACCUCGGCCUUCCAGUAGGUGUUCUCCAACGGGUGCUUGUGCUCCGAGCAAAGGUAGCGGACGGUGGCGGCAAACUCCGGGUAAUAGCUCGCCAACACACCCGUGAGCAGAGUGUGGUAGUGAGCGUCCUCGUCCGCCUCCAUGAACUUGUUCCUGGAGGUCCAUCCCAUCUCCGGAACAACCUGAGGGUACUGAGACGUCGGUGCUGAACCCGUCGACGCGUGGGGUGCAGGCGAAGGUGGUGCAGGUGCAGGUGGUGCAGGCGCAGGUGGAACUGGAGCGGCAGCCUGCGCGGAUCGGUACCGCCACUGGUGUAGGAGCUGAAGGCGUAGGCGUAGGGGACCCCGUGUCCAUAGGCUCCUCCUCCUCGCCGCCACCAGAGGCGACAACCUCGGGCUCAGGUACGGGCGCUGGUGCUGGUACGGGUGCAGGUACUGGGGCUGGUGCUGGUGCAACUGGCGGAGCACGGGCGGCGACGAAGAGGGCACGGUACGCGGCUGCACUGCGACGAGGCAUCUAUAAAUUUUGUUUUAAGAAUUAGAAUCAAUAUAUUUACAUAAAUAGAACAGUGGGUAAGAAUAUAAACUUUUAAUAAAAUAACAAGGAAGUAAAGUGAGCAGUGAGAUAAAUAAAGCCAAAAUAUAAACCCUAAAAUCGACUGUUUCUACCUAGGUUUGCGUCCUACAGUCAGCCUUGCUCUGAUACCAAUUUGUCACACCCAAAUUUAAGGAUAAAUUUGAGUACAUUAAUCUCAUGUGCGCCCCAGGAAUAGUCGCGCACACAAGUCGACAAAUUACAAAUGUAUCAUCACAAGUGUCUUACAUAUCGUUAUUACAACACAAAUAUAUCAAAGUCUGCGACAAACGGAAAAUAAACUCAUACUAGCUAUGAAAGAUAACUCCAACACAGGGAUGACCGACUGGGGGAUCGCCAACCUAGAAGUCCUCAGGGAAUUCCUCGUAGAAGCUGUCAUCUGUUACCCAUCCGGGAUUUUGUCCAAAAAGAAAGAUAAAGACAAGCGUGAGUACAUCUCGUACUCCGCAAGCAUAACAUAGAAUUUUAUGCGGCUCAAAAAGGUCAGACACUGGCUACUGCAGUUAGCAUUUUAAUUGGUCAAUGUUUUAAUCCUAUUUAAUCAUCAAUUAUGCUUAAGCUCCCGAUUAGCCCAAAUGAGCACAUGAUAAUAACACCGUUAACCUUCACGGCUAACACCAUCACCAUCACGGUUAAACCACAUUAAUCAUCACGAUCAAUGCGUCAGAUUUUCAUAAGUUAUUUCCCAUAACCAUCCACACCCAACUAUUCCGUAAGGGUCCAAGGCCGCUCAUGUCCGAGAGCACGGCUAGUAUACCAGUUUGAUCAAACUCUGCGCAGAGGUGUGCACUUUUCCCGUAAGUCGCGUUACCCAUAUGCCCGGGGUUUGCAAGACCCACUAACACUGCCAAGAUGAGCGGGCAGGGAACACUAUGAAGCCUUCCGUAGGCCACGUCUAACCAGUUAGGGCCGCGAGGUUUCCUCGGCAGGCAGAUAUAGAGAACCCCCCUUUCCUAUGGCACAUUUCCAUCACGGCUAUACACAUAGGAACAGAAGCAGUUCUAUACCCAAAGUGGCAAGCCCCUCUUGCGCCCUUUCGGGUAACCUCUAACCAGCUAUAUGAGAUCCUAUUACUGAGCUAAAGUUGGAGCCACAUAACCAUCACGGUUGCACUGUAAGUCCCGGAUUAUCGCUUACAGAGAAGUCCUUACGGAGGGUCUAGGUCAACCCGACCGAAGUCAAUUGUACCAUAGCCCUUUUUCCCAAUAUUUAUCAUCAUAUUUAUUAAAGUCAGAGUGAUACUAAAGUCUCAAUUAAUUAAAGAACUAGCAAAGCUACCCACAUGCAUUCUUCCCAUAGGUGUCAUAUGUGUUUAGUCAGGUAGCUAGGAUAUCCUUAGGGUUAUCAAAAUUAGACACAUGCAAAUGCGUAAUUAAAUAAGUGAAUAGGUGUACAAGGGAAACCCAUGCUAUACUUGCCUUCAGUGAAGGGGAACUGCUGCUGGUCCUGCUGCUCCUCUUAGUAAAAUGGAUCACCCGCGGACACGUCACCGUCUGCGCUCGAUCGGUACCACACAACAACACGCAUCCAGGUUCAUUCAUACAAGCAAACAAUCAUUUAAUUAGAACAGUACACCAACAGAUCAAAAAUGAAAUAAAAUAUUUAAAAACAGAACCUACAAUUCGCUACGAUCACAUAGAUACGAAGAUCACGAAAAUCGGAGCUAAAACGACCAAGUUACGACUUUUCGGCGAUUUCCUAUAGGCAAUUAAUUAAUUAAACCUAACCCUGAAAAUAAAAAGUGGUAAACUAUAGAAACAGUGGUACUAUCAUGUAGAGAAUUUAAAUACGAAUCUAACGUAAUUCGAACGGGUCAAAUCGUAGCUAUAACGAAUAUUUUAUGGCCAAAACAAGUUUAGUGGCAUUUCUGUAAUUUCCUGAAAGCGUAUUUUGACCUAAAUCGAUAGAGUUUACGUUUUCCAACAGAGAAAGCGUAUUCACUCGAAGGCGCUAAGGACUGCGGCCGAAUUUGGAAAUCUAGGAGGGGCUCUUUAAGCAAAUUUUCCCCCGAAGGGGUAUGGUGCGCUGAGGGCCGUUAGAUCGCGAACGGACGGCCGAGAUUAGAGAAAGGGGGAAAAGAGAGAGAGGGGCGGCGCUCCUGGCCGGAGGGAAAGGAGGGCGCGGCGGCGGCCAUUGCUGGCCGACCCAAGCUCGCCGGCGAAAUUCGAUAGGGCGCUACGGGGCAUGGUUUUGCGAACCGAAACUACCGGGAGAGAGAGGAGGUCGCGGCGAACUCGAUUCCAUGCUUAGCGCGGCCGGGGAGACCACGCGUUGCCCGCUCCAUGGCCGGCGGCCAUGGAGCUCGACGGAGUUCGCCGAAACCGACCCCAGCAACCAUGAAACGGAACGAAACGAGCACCGGGAGGAAGCGAGGAAGGAGGCGAUGCUCACCCAGGGGACGAAACGCGGCAAAAGGGCUCCAAACGGAGGAACGACGCGCGACGGCGCUUGCUGCUCCGGCAGUUUCUUUUCUGCGCUAGAAUGAGUGGAAAACGGAGGCGAGGAGGGGGAAUGGGGGAGAAAGAACAGGGCUCGGGGGCGGGGCUCUUCAAAAGCUUCCGAGGCGCGGGGAAAAAGGGAUAGGGGGAUCGUGGGCGCGGGGCUCGGCCCGGGCGGUUUCCAACUGAGAGGAAGGAGCGGGGCGUCGGUUGGGAGAAGAGGGAGCUGACAGGCGGGCCCGGCCUGUCAGCGGGGGAAGAGAGAGAGGGGAGGCCGGCUGGGCCGCGGCCCAGGAAGGAGAUGGGGCGCGCGGGGUGGGUUGCUGGGCUACCAGGCCGAAAAGAGGAAGGGGGAGAGAGGGAAAGGAUUUUCUUUCUUUUUUUAUACACAAUUUCCAAAUGAAUUUCUUUUCUUCAAAUAUUUUCUUGAGCAAGAUAUUUUGGUUUUAAAAACAAUCAUCACAAAAGAAAUGCUCCAGCAUGAAUGCAACAUAAAUGUUUCUCUAAGCUCACAUUAAAUUUUAAUUUCUCCAAAUUUAUUUAUUUUCCUAUAUUGAAAAUGCUCACAAAAUAAAUUCAUUUAAAUUGAUUUCAUCUAUUUAAAAGAAACAAAAUUUUUUGGGUGUUACAUUACUACUAUUUUUAAUAUUUUUAUUUUCUUUUUAAGGUAGUAUGAACAUGAUUAACUAAGUAAACUUUUUAAAUAUUUGAAAGGAAAAAAUAACUACCAAGUUUACCUCUUGGCAAGGCGUUCGGUGUUUUUAAGUCCUCCGAACGGGACUCUCCGUUUUCUCAGUCGUCCUGGGAUUCGUUGGAUGGCGCAGUCGGUGCUUCCAGCGGCGCCUCUUCUUCGUGUAUAGUUAUCUUCUCUCUCCACACCUGACUCAGUGCUACGGUCUCCUCAGGAUAAUCUUGUUCAAGCUGUAUGUCUUCAGAUCUUAUUACUUCUCCUUUAUAGUUUGCCCAUCCGUCCUUGAUGAUUUACCUCCUCUUGUUGCGGUUGCGUCAUCUUCUUCUUGUCCUCACCUGCUUAGAGUCUUCAACGAUAUAGUUAGGGUGAGUAAAAUAGCGGCGUACCUUCUCUGAGGGUAAGUGCAUAUGGACUUCUCCAGUUCGAAAUGUAGAUGAUUGCUUUAACGGUGCUGAGAAAUGGUCUUCCAAGGAUGAUGGGUGGAUCGUAUUCGUCUUCUCCCUUGUCAAUAACCUGAAAGUCUGUGUAGACAAAAUGAUCGUCUAUUUUGACAGGGACAUCAGUUACUAUUCCUUUAACCUCUUGAACUGUCUGAUUUGCCAUCAGGAGCUGAAUGUAUGUUGGUUUUAAGGGCAUGGUUCCGAAUAAGAGCCGAUAGGUGACUGCGGCCAUUAUAUUGACGCCCGAUCCGGUGUCGCAAAACGUCUUGUAGAAGUUGUACCCACUUAUGGAGCAAUAGAUGCUUGGCAUUCCUGCGUUGUUCUUCUUGGUCAGAAACGGUGACUUAAGUUGAUGAUCUUGUCCUUCAAGAACUGCAGUGACCAUCUUAACUGACUCGGUUCACACUUGCUUGUUCCUGUUCCUCCUGUUGGUUCUUUGUUGACGGUCCUUAAGUAUCAAAUUUAAUUAUCAAAUAAAUAAAGAAAAGGAUCCAAAUGAAAUCAACAUCUAGACUUAGGGUUUUAUUUGACAGAAUUCCAUGAGUUUUGGUGUUUGUCUAUUUCUGCAGGGGGUUAUCAGGAAAUACGGAAGAAAGGCCCACACGUCGGGAUUACAUAGAGAUAUUAACGUGCCGCGCAAUUAUCUUACAUCUAGAAGACUCCAGAAGCCACGAGACCGAAGCGGAGGCGAAACGGGGCCAGAGGCAGGGCGCCCGCCCUGUUCCCCUAGGCGACCAAUCAGGACUCUGCUUCAUGGGAGAUCUCCACCGACCUAAAGGAUGAAUCUAAACCAUACAAUCUAUGUCGGUUUGAUCCAACGGCCCAUAUUCACUUGAAGAGACUAUAAAACCAGACCCCCUGGCCCCUGGAGGAGAGAGCCUCUCAACCCUAAUUCAUUGUUCCUCAAGGGAGAAGAAGCCUCUGAUCAAGAUUAGAGCCACCACAUCAAUUAGAUAUCUAGAUUAGCAUAGCUACAUAGGAUUAGAACUAGAAGGAGUCAAUCUUCGAUUGGUUUCCGGAUGUGUCAAGAGGAUUCUUGGUAAUUCUCUAAUUGUGCUUCUAAUUGCUUUCUAAUUAUCUUUGUUAUUCAAUAUUAUGAAUAUGACUUUGUUCUACUUCAAUAUAUUGCUUAUGACUUUGCUCUAUUUGCUUAUAUUCAAGAUUAUAUUGUUCUUAGUUUAUCAUAGUUAUGUACUGGGCUUAGUUAGAUUGGAUCUAUAUACAUGCUUAGGAUCGUAUAGCGUUUAUCCAUCGGAUCCAUGGGUAAAUGAUAGAUAUUGUGUAGGCAUGGUGCUUAUACCGUAUUUAUCUGCGAUUGUACCCAAUAUGCCAGAUCGUGGGGUGGUUCGUGAUAGUGACAGCUUUAUUGAUUCUUAUAUAGUCCCCCUCUCGUCUAUUGGGCUGGCAGAGCAACAUUAUUACAGGGGAGUGAUUGCUAUGUUUCUCAUAUUCCUUGCUAAUAUCACUAUGCAUGGGUGUAGUCUUGUCUCACAAUGAUUGCUAAGUAUGCUUGCACUAACUAUGAUAAUGCUAGACUAUAUAGUUGAGAAUAACUUAGGGAAUAUUCUUGUAGUUCGUUCUAAUACCAUGCUAAUGACUUUCUAGAGUAUCUAAUUGAGGUGCUUAUCAUAUUUAUUAUGUGGCUAGAUCAGAUUAAUUAACUGUCACUAUUAUUACUUCAUAUAUCUUUUAUGUGACACUUAUCCCUGUAUGAAGAGUUAGAUAUAAUGUUCUCAAUUAUACAUGCAAUGAUAGAUGCUCAAUCUCAUAUUCUAUUCUGUAAUCAAUAGUGAUGAUUGCUAAUCCCUUCCCAGUGGUAAAAAUAUAAAUAAUGGUACCUGGAAUACUUCCCGGUUAAAAUGCUACAUCGGUAUUAAUCUGUGCGCUUGCAGAUCCCAUUCAUUAGUUAUUUAGAAGAGCAAUUGCAUAUUUCAAUACCGCGUCUCUUAUAUCAUGCUGGGGAUGACAACUUGGCUUAAGUGGUGUGAGGGAUAGGUUUGGCAUUUUUGGCACCGUUACUAGAUUUAGAGAACUUAGUCUACUUUUGGUAAUGAUGUUAAGAAUACCCAACAAGCAUUUUUGGCGCCGUUGCCGGGGAAGGUUGAUUACUAAUCAGGAAUGGAAUAAAAGAUUUUGAGUUAUCAUUCGCAUCACUAAUAUGAUUGAGCUUAUCUAUUCUCUCAUACAGUUUUACCCCGAUAUUUUUCUGUUUUAUCUUAUGCUGGGGAAUGUAUGAAUAGAAGACAUCUUCCAGGAAAUUUUGUUGACAAUCCCAAAGCAUUAUUCAAGAAGACGAGAGCUAAGUUCAAGAAGAGAUCAUCAACACUUCAGCAAGAAGCUUCAUCCAAUCAAGAAGAUCACCGGAACUUGUCUUCAGAGUUCGAGGCCAUGGCGAACAAAUCAAUCCGCGAGUUCUCAGCUCCCACUACGGACAACAUCCGCACUGGACCUGCUGCAGAGAUCGACGGCAACUUUGAGCUCAAGCCUGGACUUAUCAACAUGGUGCAAUCCAACCAGUUCUGUGGGAAGGCACACGAAGAUGCUAGUGCUCAUUUACAACACUUCCUGGAGAUUUGCAACACAUUCACCAUAUCAGGAGUUUCCAAAGAUGCUAUACUACUUCGCCUCUUCCCAUUCUCACUGUUAGGAAGAGCGAAGCAGUGGUUCUACGCUUUAAAGGAGAAGAAUACUACGUGGGCACUCUGCUCAACAAACUUCCUGGCAAAGUUCUCUCCCAUGGGCAAGACCAAUGCUCUCCGUGGGAAGAUUACAAGUUUUCAGCAACAAAAUGAUGAAUCUGUUCCAGAAGCAUGGGAGCGCUUUCAAGACUACAUCCUAGAAUGUCCCCAUCAUGGAAUGGAGAGUUGGCUAUUGAUGCAGACGUUUUAUCAUGGGCUCGGCAACAGUGCCCGAGAGACCAUGGAUGCUGCAGCUAGAGGAGCAUUCUUAUCACUUACUAUACCACAAGCCACAGCUCUUGUGGAGAAGAUGGUGUCUAACCAAAGCUGGAAUGAAGAGAGGACCCAGACACGCAAGAGAGGUGGAGGUAUGCAUCACCUGAAGGAGGUAGACAUGCUAUCUGCAAAGCUAGACCUGCUCAUGAAGAAGCUCGACGAUAGAGUUGGAGAUAAGAAGGAAGUUAUGCACAUCUACGACUCUCACAUGACUUGUGAGGAGUGUGGAGACACUGGACACUCAGGCAACCACUGCCCUGAGAUACUUGAGGAUGUGAACUACAUCAACAACAACAACUACUACUACUACAACCGUCCUCAACAAAAUCAAGGUUGGAAUCAAUAAAGGCCUAACUACUUAGGUAAUUAUCAAGGUAACAAUUCUUACAACAAUAAUAAUAAUUUUCCACCUCUGAGAGAGUUAGUGUCUAAUCAAGGAAAGCUAAUGGAUAAUCUAUCUAAGAAAUUGGCAUCUAAUGAUAAAAUACUAGAAAAUAUAAAUAAUAGAAUGGAUAAUUUCUCUACUGCCAUCAAGAAUUAAAUUAGCUUUAAUAAAAUCAUUGAAUCUCAGUUAAAUCAAAUAGCUGCUGUUGUUCCUACUACUAACCCCGGUAUACCAUCACAACCGGAAGGAUUAGAAUCUGCAAAUCUUGUAGACAUGUUUGAUGCAGGUAAUUGGAGUAACCCCGUCACUGAAUUCUCUACUGACCUUGUGCCAGUCAAGAGAGGCGAUCCAGGACGCCCCGUCAUCCCGAUCUCCAUCGGCAUGGUGGACGUCCCAGAAGCACUCUGCUACUUUGGCUCUAGUGUCAACAUUAUACCCAGGGUACUCUAUGAAAAAUUCUUUACAUAUCCUAGAGACAACCAUGUGUUUGCAGUUUGCAGAUCAGACGAUAACUUUUCCAAAAGGAAUAUUGAGGAACCUUUGUGUCUGAGUUGGUACCUUGUAUGCCCCAGCAGACUUCGUAGUGGUAGAGACCGGAAAUGAUGAGAGAGCACCUAUCAUCUUAGGAAGGCCAUUCUUGAACACCACGGGAGCUAUCAUCUACGCUAGUGCUGCCAAGAUCAGUUUCUACGUCAAAGGGAGGAAGGAGACAUUUUUCUUCAAGAACAAGACUGCACAAAUUCCAGAUCAAUCCAGACGUGAGUCAAGGAAGAGGACCAACAGGAGGAACAGGAACAAGCAAGUGUGGACCGAGUCAGCUAAGAUGGUCACUGUAUUUCAUGGAGGCCAAGAUCACCAACUUAAGUCACCGCUUUUGACCAAGAAGGACGACCUAGGAAUGCCAAGCAUCUACUGCUCCAUAAAUGGAUAUAACUUCUAUAAGGCAACUUGUGACACCGGAUCGGGCGUCAACAUAAUGGCCGCAGUCACCUAUCGGCUCUUGUUCAGAACCAUGCCUCUAAGACCAACAUACAUUCUGCUCCAGAUGGCAGAUCAGACGUUUCGAGAAGUUAAAGGAAUAGUAACUGAUGUCCCAGUCAAAAUAGACGAUCACUUUGUCUACACAGACUUUCAAGUUAUUGACAUGGGAGAAGACGAGUAUGAUCCACCCAUCAUCCUUGGAAGACCGUUCCUCAGCACCGUUAAAGCAAUUAUUUACAUUGGAACCGGAGAAGUCCAUAUGCACUUCCCCUCAGAGAAGGUACGCCGUUAUUUUACUGACCCUAACUAUAUCAUUGAAGAAUCUAAGCAGGUCAGAAAGAGACGCAACCGCAACCAGAGGAGGCAGAUCAUCAAGGACGGAUGGGCAGACUAUGAAGGAGAAGUUGUAAGGUCAGAAGACGUAGAGUUUAAACAGAAUUAUCCAGAAGCACCAAGACAGGUGUGGAAAAUGAAGAUAACUAUACAUGAAGAGGAGGCGCUACCGGAAGUACCGACUACGCCACCCAACGAACCUCAGGACAAUUGAGAAAACGGAGUCCCGUUCGGAGGACUUAAAAACACCGAACGCCUUGCCAAGAGGUAAACUUGGUAGUUAUCCUUUCCCUUUCAAUUAUGUCAAUUAGUUUACUUAGUUAAUCAUGUUCGUGCUAUCCUAAAAAGAAAAAUAAAAAUGUGAAAAACAGUAAGCCCCAUGUGAGUAGACGAGUGGCAUAAAACCCAUAAGUACAUUCACUGUGGUGGCAUAAAAAUAAAAUAAAUAUUUCUUUUCUGCUUUAUAAAAUGAAAAUAUAAAAACAAGAAGUAACAAUUAUUAAGGAGUCUCAACAUGAUAAAGGCUAGAUAUUUAUGCUAACACUUAAUCAGUUCCACAAGCUUUGUCGUCUAUUUGAGCUCCACAGAAUUUAAGAAUCAAGAAGACUAGCAGACGGAGGACAUUCUAAUCGCUGUCAGAAUGCUGCUGACUUUCAAAUACACCUCUGCCACCUGCUAGCUACAUCAAGAGAAAUUACGUCAAAAUUCAGCUUGGGAGAGAGCACCCCCAUUUAUCUCGAUAAGUAUUUUUAUCUAUCUAUCUUUAUGCUUAUACUAUAUUAAAAUAUAAAUAUAACUAUGGAAAACCAAAUAAAGAUUUUGUGCUUAUAUAUAUAUAUAUAUAUAUAUAUAUAUAUCUUUUGCUUAGUGUGUUUAAUAAAUAAAUAAAGUGGCUAUGCUAAUCUGUAUCUAAAUAAAACUUAAGCAUGGAUAUGAUGAAUAGUUGCUCUGCCUAAUUUGCACAUUUUAAGUUCUCUCUCAAGUUUAGACAUAACUGUUAUAAUUUAAAGCUUGCUCUAGACCUAAACUUGUGGGAUGAAAACUUGAUCUGAAGUCUAAGUUGUUAAUGGAUACGAUAUGGGAAGGUUGAGCUGUUGUUUAUCUGUUCCUAGAGAUGCUAGAAUUCUGGAGAAUUUUAUUUUUAAAAAUCUUUAAAAUGUUGCAUGAUGAGUUCCUGUAUGAUGAGAGUUUAAAUUCCUACCACAGCCAUAUAUACAUGCUUAUUAGACUUUGAGCCACACAUUUACUAUUUACUGCUUAUGAGCAUUGAGUGUGGUCAAGCUGUGUAGAUCCUUAGGAGCUUGUCAUGUGGUUAAAUCAAGAUUUCACUUGCACGUUCACUCAUAUAUGCUACUUCUACUCCGGAAGUACCAUCCACAUAUAUCAAUCCAUUUCCAUCUCCAGAAUCACCCAAAAAUAUUCUACUCCUAAUCCAGGAGAGAAUAGCCAAAAAUAUUUCUGUUUUCCCUUAUGAAAUAAAUGCUCAAGUUAUCUUGUUACUACCACUUGCUAUAUUAUCUCAUGAGAUGAGUGCUCUACAAAAAAAAGAAGGAAUACAAGGAAAUAAAAAGGAGCAAGUGCUCGGAACCUCAAAAGAAAAGAAAAAAGUGAGACGAGAGGUAAAAAUAGACAAGUGUCCGACAGUAGAAUUAGAGGUACAAGAUACCCACCUGAGAGAAAAGAAAAAGAAGAGCAUCUCAUUCUCCUCAUAAAGUUUCAAAAAGCAAGGAAGGUAUGUAUCCCCUCAAAGAGCAAAGUAGAAUUAGACUUCCACCACCAUUGUUUCCACCAUUGUUAUCACCAUCAUCACCAUACACCGUUCAUUCGCCACACAUGCACAUCUUGAUUUGGCUUAUUGAUUUGUUUCUUUAGAUCCAUAGUUUGACUAUACAAUAAAUGUCUUAUAAGUAUAUAUAUUUUAUUUCCUACCUAUGAGCUCCAGAUAUUAAAGCCUUAUUAGAGUAGGGUGAGAGAGAAGGCAAUGUCACUAUGCCUUAUACCACAAAUACUACAUAUCUUGAGAGAAGGCAUAUACCAUCACUACCUUGGUAAGGAUCCAGAAAUACCAUAAAAGAGAGAUCUAAGAGAAUCAUACAAAGAAUUUCUGAGUUUUAUUUGAAAAUCUAAAAAAAACACCAGAGCUAUAGCUGAUCAAGAAUAAGAGACAUGGCACUUGACUAGACUGUUCUAUCUUUUAACCACUCAAGACAGAAGUGACGGUUACAAGUCCCAUGGUGAAGGUAAAGUAAGUAAGUUUUAAGUCUUGACAGUUUACUCUAACUCAGAGAUGAGAUGUUAUUUAAAAAGCUUGUGUACCGUCAAAUUUUUAAAAAUAUUGCAACAACUUAUGAUCCAUAGUUGAGUUUAUCCUUGCUCAGGGACGAGCAAGAGGUAAGCUUGGGGGAGUUUGUUGACGGUCCUUAAGUAUCAAAUUUAAUUAUCAAAUAAAUAAAGAAAAUGAUCUAAAUGAAAUCAACAUCUAGACUUAGGGUUUUAUCUAACAGAAUUCCACGAGUUUUGGUGUUUGUCUAUUUCUGCAGGGGGUUAUCAGGAAAUACGGAAGAAAGGCCCACACGUCAGAAUUACAUAGAGAUAUUAACGUGCCGCGCAAUUAUCUUACAUCUAGAAGACUCCAGAAGCCACGAGACCGAAGCGGAGGCGAAACGGGGCCAGAGGCAGGGCGCCCGCCCUGUUCCCCUGGGCGCCCGCCCACCUCUGGAGUCCAAUCAGGACUCUGCUUCGUGGGAGAUCUCCACCGACCUAAAGGAUGAAUCUAAACCAUACAAUCUAUGUCGGUUUGAUCCAACGACCCAUAUUCACUUGAAGGGACUAUAAAACCAGACCCCCUGGCCCCUAGAGGAGAGAGCCUCUCAACCCUAAUUCAUUGUUCCUCAAGGGAGAAGAAGCCUCUGAUCAAGAUUAGAGCCACCACAUCAAUUAGAUAUCUAGAUUAGCAUAGCUACAUAGGAUUAGAACUAGAAGGAGUCAAUCUUCGAUUGGUUUCCGGAUCUGUCAAGAGGAUUCUUGGUAAUUCUCUAAUUGUGCUUCUAAUUGCUUUCUAAUUAUCUUUGUUCUUCAAUAUUAUGAAUAUGACUUUGUUCUACUUCAAUAUAUUACUUAUGACUUUGCUCUAUUUGCUUAUAUUCAAGAUUAUAUUGUUCUUAGUUUAUCAUAGUUAUGUACUUGGCUUAGUUAGAUUGGAUCUAUAUACAUGCUUAGGAUCGUAUAGCGUUUAUCCAUCGGAUCCAUGGGUAAAUGAUAGAUAUUGUGUAGGCGUGGUGCUUAUACCGUAUUUAUCUACGAUUGUACCCAAUAUGUCAGAUCGUGGGGUGGUUCGUGAUAGUGACAGCUUCAUUGAUUCUUAUAUAGUCCCCCUCUCGUGUAUUGGGCUGGCAGAGCAACAUUAUUACAGGGGAGUGAUUGCUAUGUUUCUCAUAUUCCUUGCUAAUAUCACUAUGCAUGGGUGUAGUCUUGUCUCACAAUGAUUGCUAAGUAUGCUUGCACUAACUAUGAUAAUGCUAGACUAUAUAGUUGAGAAUAACUUAGGGAAUAUUCUUGUAGUUCGUUCUAAUACCAUGCUAAUGAAUUUCUAGAGUAUCUAAUUGAGGUGCUUAUCAUAUUUAUUAUGUGGCUAGAUCAGAUUAAUUAUCUUUGUCACUAUUAUUACUUCAUAUAUCUUUUAUGUGACACUUAUCCCUGUAUGAAGAGUUAGAUAUAAUGUUCUCAAUUAUACAUGCAAUGAUAGAUGCUCAAUCUCAUAUUCUAUUCUGUAAUCAAUAGUGAUGAUUGCUGAUCCCUUCCCAGUGGUAAAAAUAUAAAUAACGGUACCUGGAAUACUUCCCGGUUAAAAUGCUACAUCGGUAUUAAUCUGUGCGCUUGCAGAUCCCAUUCAUUAGUUAUUUAGAAGAGCAAUUGCAUAUUUCAAUACCGCGUCUCUUAUAUCAUGCUGGGGAUGACAACUUGGCUUAAGUGGUGUGAGGGAUAGGUUUGGCAUUUUUGGCACCGUUACUAGAUUUAGAGAACUUAGUCUACUUUUGGUAAUGAUGUUAAGAAUACCCAACAUUCUUUUCUUUGUUUCUUGUCGGGACUGCUCUGGAAUUUGUGUAGCCUUGUUCUUGAAGGAAAACAUCUCCUUCCUCCCUUUGAUGUAGAAACUGAUCUUGGCAGCACUAGCGUAGAUGACAGCUCCCGAGGUGUUUAAGAAUGGCCUCCCUAAGAUGAUAGGUGCCCUCUCAUCAUUACCGGUCUCUAUCACCACGAAGUCUGCUGGGGCGUACAAGGUACCAACUCGGACGUAGAGGUUCUUCAAUAUUCCCUUUGGGAAACUUAACGCCUGAUCUGCAAACUGCAAACACAUGGUUGUUUCUAAUAAAGGAUAUGUAAAGAAUUUUUCAUAGAGUACCCUGGGCAUAAUGUUGACACUAGAGCCAAAGACGCAGAGUGCUUCUGGGAAGUCCACCAUGCCGAUGGAGAUCGGGAUGACGGGGCGUCCUGGAUCGCCUCUCUUGACCGGCAAAAGGUCAGUAGUAACUUCAGUGACGGGGUUACUCCAGUACACUAGUACAGGGAAGGGCUUUAGCCCCGGGCCGUAAGCGCCUUUAGUCCCGGCUACGGAACCGGGGCUAAGGUUUCGGGACUAAAUGUCCCACCUUUAGUCCCAGUUCCGUGGACCGGGACUAAAGGUCCACCUUUAGUCCCGGUCAGUAACAGCAACCGGGACUAAAAGGUGCGCCAGGGUGUGCCACCUGGCCUCCACUUUUAGUCCCGGUUGUUGCUACCAACCGGGACUAAAGACUUUUUUCUUUUUUCUUUUUUCUUUUUUCUUUUUCUUUUCAUUUGGUUUUCCAUUUAGGGUUUACAAUUAUGUUAUUGUUAUUUUCGAAUGCGUAUUGUUUGCUGGUAGUUUAUGGAACACGCACCUAUAAUUUAUAUAAUUUAAAGGAUUACAUAUAAAUAUACUAUAAAACACUAUAUAUAUAUAAAUAAUAUGUAUCUAUAGGUCCAUAAUAAAAUAUUUACACAUAUGCUUCAUGGACAAAGUAUUUACAACACAAUUUAUCUCCACCACUCAAGCAUCGUACAAAUGAUCAUCGUUAUUUGGUUUCAUCUGCUCCUGAGGGUUGAAGUAGCACUCGCCGCCGGAAUCCAGGACUUGGUCGUUAAGAAAUCCUGCGAUUGUCUCCUGAAUUCUUUUUAGGCGCACCGCAUCCAACACCUGCUCCUUCAGCCACAUCUCCUUUAAUAGACAUUAAAGAAAAAAGUUAGAGGUAUGAAUAGGAUUUAUUAAAUAGCAACAAAUAAAUGAAAUAUACUUAUUAUAUAUACAUGUUACAUACUUUUAGGUGCUCAAGAUUAGUUCUUUUGGCAUACACCGUCAUAAACUCGCACACAUAGUAGCCACACAAAUUGUUGCCCGGUGUCUGCCGUAGAACCCACUGAAGUAAGAUGGGCUUUGAAAGUGAUGCAUUCAACUCUGGACGGUGUUUCUGCACGAACCCAGCCCAAACUAUAGCAAUAAAACGAUCAUUAUUAAUUAUCCAUUACCAAGUUAAAAGAGCAGAAUUUAAUAUAUAGAGAUCGGAGUUACCCUUGGAUAAUAUCUAUCAUUUCUUGGUAAUCAUCCUGUGGUUUUCUCAAUGAGUCAUAGAUUACCAAUUGACAUUGCCAGAGAUCAAUGACAAUUAGUAUCCAAUGAAAGCUGCAUUUGUGUGCAUAUGUAGGCAAAAUUAGUAUAUAUCUUCAUAUUGAUCUGAUUAAUUAGUUAAAUAGAAUGUACACACGAUAACGACACUUACUUAAAGUUGUAGGGAAAGAGUAUAUAUCUUUUAUCUUUUUGGUUGAUCAAGAACCUCCGUAGAUUUCUCUCCGUUUGAGUUCUCCAUAAAACAUACGGGGUCUUGUGGUCUUUGAAUACAACAUUUGGAUCCACAAAUCCAAUCUCCUUGUCAUUUCUAACUCUGAGGUCCCACAUCAUGUUUCUGCAUAUGUAUAGCGGGUUUCUGUAAUUAGUUAUAUAUAUACAUGAUAAGUUACAGAGACAUUAUUGAAAGGAAGAAUCACUUACAGACAGAAGCAACUCAUUAGAGAUUUGUCAAGAGCGUCCAUGUGGCAUAGUUGGUGUAGCUCAUUAAAUUGAACAUAAAUAAUAUCAUCACCACGGACCUUGAACAGAAAUUUCUUCUCAGGCACAUUAAUUAUACCUUUUAUAUUAGAGGAGAAUCCAGAUGGGACCUUGAUGCUGCUUAAGCAUUCAAACAUGAUUUCUUUCUCUUCAUUGCUAAGAGUGUAGCUAGCAGGUCUUAAAUAUUGGCGUCCAUCAUCUGUCUUCUCUGGAUGCAGGUUGUCUCGUUCUUCCAUGCGUUGCAAGUCUUGUCGUGCUUCAAGUGAAUCCUUAGGCUUACCAUAUACACCCAUGAAUCCUAGAAUGUUCACACAAAGAUUCUUUGUUAGGUGCAUGACGUCGAUCGCAUUCCGGACCUCUAGGACUUGCCAAUAGGGUAGCUCCCAAAAUAUUGACUUCUUCUUCCACAUGGGUGCAUGACCCGCUGCAUCUUUUGGAACUGGUUGGCUGCCUUGUCCCUUACCAAAAACUACUUUCACAUCCUUAACCAUCUCAAAUACAUCUUCUCCAGUUCUAUUGCGAGGCUUGCAUCGGUGGUCUGUCUUACCUUUAAAAUGCUUUCCUUUCUUUCUAACUGGGUGAUUCAUAGAAAGAAAUCGACGAUACCCAAGGUACACGACCUUUCUGCAUUCUUUCAAAUAUAUACUAUCAAGGUCAACAAAACAAUGUGUGCAUGCAUUAUAUCCCUUGUUUGUCUGCCCUGAAAGAUUACUUAGAGCAGGCCAAUCAUUGAUUGUCACAAACAACAGUGCUCGUAGGUCGAAGUGUUCCUGUUUGUACUCAUCCCACACACGAACACCUGUUUCACUCCAUAAAAGAAGGAGUUCUUCAAUUAAUGGCCUUAGAUAGACAUCAAUGUCAUUGCCCGGUUGCUUCGGGCCUUGGAUGAGCACCGGCAUCAUAAUGAACUUUUGCUUCAUGCAUAACCAUGGAGGAAGGUUGUAGAUACAUAGUGUAAGAGGCCAAGUGCUAUGACUACUGCUUUGCUCACCAAAAGGAUUCAUACCGUCCGUACUUAAAGCGAACCUUAAGUUUCUUGCGUCUUUUGCAAACUCUGGAAAUUCCCUGUCUAUUGCUCUCCACUGGGACCCAUCAGCAGGGUGUCUCAACAUGUUGUCUACUUUACGGUCUUCUUUGUGCCACCGCAAUAAUUUUGCAUGGUCUUUAUUUCUAAAAAGACGUUUCAGACAUGGUAUUAUAGGAGCAUACCACAUAACCUUUGCAGGGAUUUUUUUUCUGGGACGUUCUUCCCCCUCAACAUCGCCAGGGUCAUCUCGCCUGAUCUUAUACCGUGAUGCUUUACAUACGGGGCAUUCAUCUAAAUUCUCGUAGUCCUUGCCACGGUAUAGGAUGCAGUCGUUAGGACAUGCAUGUAUCUUCUUGAUUUCUAAUCCCAAAGGACAGACGAUCUGUUUUGCUUCGUACGUAGUAGUGGGCAGUUCAUUAGGCUUUGGCAGCAUUUUUUUUGGAUCUUCAGUAAUUGCCCAAAUGCCUUAUCAGAUACACCAUUCUGUGCCUUCCAUUUUAACAGUUCUAGUGUUGUACCCAGUUUUUUUUGCCCAUCCUGGGCAGAUGGGUAUAAUAAUUUCUUGUGAUCUUCUAACAUGUGGUCAAACUUUGUCUUCUCUUUUUCACUGUCGCAAUCUUUUUGUGCCUCACGAAUGACAUCACCAAGAGCAUCAUCUUCAACAGGUGCGCCUUCUGCAUCUGCCUCAUCUUCAGCUUCUCCCAUUGCUGUAUCACCGAAGUCACCGUAUUGAGCAAUAAUGUCGUCAAGCUCCAACUGUUCUUCUUCACCUUCUUCCAUCAUUAUCCCGUUUUCUCCAUGCUUGGUCCAACAAAUAUAGUUUGGCAUAAAACCCGACUUCAACAAAUGUGAGUGAAUAUUUCUAGAGCUAGAAUAUUCCUUCAAAUUCUGACACAAGGCACAUGGGCAACAUAUGAAUCCAUCCCGCUUGUUUUCCUCGGCCACUCUUAAGAAAUAAUGCACACCAUCAAUGAAUUCUUUGGAGCGGCGAUCGGCAUUGUACAUCCAAUGACGUGUCAUUGUCUGCAUUGCAAUGUAAAGUAUUAUAAGUUUCUAAUUUUUUAUAAAGAAAUUAAAGUAACAAAUAACCUAAAAUUCUCUAUUUCUGGUUAUUCUAAACCAACAAAAUUAAAAAGACAUAAAAGUUCUCUAUUUUCUAACUAAUCAUGAAAUGUGGCAUGCAUACUAGUUAUAAUUAACUAAUUAACCAUGUCAUAAAGUGCAAAUUAAAGUAUUAUAAGUUUCUAAUUUUUAAUAGAGAAAUUAAAGUAACAAAAAACCUAAAAUUCUCUAUUUCUAAUUUUUCUAAACAAGCUAAAUUAAAAAAGCACAAAAAUUCUCUAUUUUCCUAAAUAAUCAUGAAAUGUGGUAUGUAUACUAGUUAUAAUUAAAUAACUAAAUCGGUCAAAAAUAACAAAUUAAAGUAUUAUAUGUUUUUAUUUUUAAUAGAGAAAUUAAAGUAACAAAAAACCUAAAAUUCUAUAUUUCUAUUUUUUCUAAACAAGCUAAAUUAAAAAAGCAAAAAAAUUCUCUAUAUUCUAAAAUAAUCAUGAAAUGUGGUAUGUAUACUAGUUAUAAUUAACUAACUAAAUCGGUCAAAAAUUGCAAAUUAAAGUAUUAUAUGUUUUUAUUUUUUUCUAAACUAAUUAAAAUAAAAAACAUAUUACCACUAUUUCUCUAAAAAAACGCGUCGCUUUUGAAAUGGCGAUGAAGCUAAUAACCUCUUAAAAAAACCAUAAAAUAAAAAAUAAUAUACAUAACACUAGGAAAUGACAUACGUUGCUUCUAAAUGUUGAGAAGAUGAAGCUAGUGACCUCUUAACAAGUCGAUGACGGUGUAGAAACGAUAAAAUGAAUCAAUAGCCGGAGAUGAGAGCAAGCUAGAACAAGCAACUCCAAAUGAAGAACACAGCAAAAGAGUGAAGAUCGAUGGGCUCGGCCACGAGAAGAAGAGUUCAAAUAUGGGGAGGGACAUUUAAUUCCGCUUCCUUUUAAAAACCGGGACUAAAUUCCAACACUAGUCUCGGCCGGUGGGACGGACCGGGACAAAAGCUUUUAAUCCCGGUUGGUGGUACCAACCGGGACUAAAGGCUAGGCUUUUGUCCCGGUUGGUCUCACCAACCGGGACUAAUUAUUUUUUUGUCCCGGACUCUGUUUUGGCCGAGAUUAUUGUUUAUUUUGGGCAAGUGACCAAAGGCUUGUUCUGUAGUAGUGGUAGUUACCUGCAUCAAACAUGUCUACAAGAUUUGCAGAUUCUAAUCCUUCCGGUUGUGAUGGUAUACCGGGGUUAGUAGCAGGAACAGCAACAGCUAUUUGAUUUAACUGAGAUUCAAUCAUUUUAUUGAAGCUAAUUUGAUUCUUGAUGGCAGUAGAGAAAGUAUCCAUUCUAUUAUUUAUAUUUUCUAGUAUUUUAUCAUUAGAUGCCAAUUUCUUAGAUAGGUUAUCCAUUAGCUUUCCUUGAUUAGACACUAACUCUUUCAGAGGUGGAAAAUUAUUAGUAUUAUUGUAAGAAUUAUUACCUUGAUAAUUACCUGAGUAGUUAGGCCUCUGUUGAUUCCAAGCUUGAUUUUGUUGAGGACGGUUGUAGUAGUAGUAGUUGCUGUUGUUGAUAUAGUUCACAUCCUCAAGCAUCUCAGGACAGUGAUUGUCUGAGUGUCCAGUAUCUCCACACUCCUCACAAGUCAUGUGAGAGUCGUAGAUGUGCAUAACUUCUUUCUUAUCUCCAGCUCUAUCAUCGAGCUUCUUCAUGAGCAGGUCUAGCUUAGCAGACAGCAUGUCUACUUCCUUGAGCUGAUGCAUACCUCCACCUCUCUUGCGUGUCUGGGUCCUCUCUUCAUUCCAGCUUUGGUUGGACGCCAUAUUCUCCAGAAGAGUUUGUGGCUUGUGAUAUGGAAAGCACCAUGUAUUACUGGAAAAAAAAGAGUUUUCACCGCUUGGUAAAUUUAGACCACCUAGUAUUAGAGUUGAGUACGGCUUGAAAGUAUACAAAAUUUACCCAGUUGGUCUAACGUAAUGUUUCAGAUUUAGGCCCUGUUUAGUUACCCAUCCAAAAAAUUUUCAUACAUCCCAUCGAAUCUUUGGACACAUGCAUGGAACAUUAAAUGUAGAUAAAAAAAAUAAACUAAUUACACAGUUUGGUUGAAAAUUACGAGACGAAUUUUUUAAGCCUAGUUACUCCAUGAUUAGCCUUAAGUGCUACAGUAACCCAAAUGUGCUAAUGAUAGAUUAAUUAUACUUAAUAGAUUUGUCUUGUAGUUUUCUAACGAUCUAUAUAAUUUGUUUUUUUAUUAGUUUCUAAAACCCUUCCCGACAUCUUUCCGACAUAUUCGAUGUGACACACAAAAAAUUUUCAUCCUCAAACUAAACAGGGCCUUAGAGAUGAUUCAGAACUCGAGCAAUAUUAAAGACCAUCCAUGUGCAAAGCUUCAAGUAAAUUUGUUUCAGAUUUGCUUGUACGCCAUGUGUCUGAACCACCUGCAAACAGAGAUAGUAUGUGCACUCCAACUUCUAAAAUUAGCACGUAAGAUCCAGUAAAGAACAUGGAUGUGCACAAGGGAAGAGAAGGGGUUGGCACACCUAGUUCUUCUCCGCCGGAGAAUUGCAGCAACAUGGCGGGAGUUUGGCGAGGUCGGCCCACGGCUUCGCGUUUGCAGUUGCAGGCGUCCGCAUCUCGUCCGGCAGCGUGCUCCGCUCGACGGCGGCAGCAGCUUGGCAAGGUCAUCUGGCGUCGCAGGCGCAGGCGCCCGCAUCUCGCCCGGCAGCGUGGUCUGUCCGACGGCGGCAGCAGCUUGGCGAGGUCGUAGGCGUCGCUUGGUCAGGGGAGGCGGCGGCGGAUGUUAGUUGGGAUGCUGUGCCGGCUCCACUAACGGAAAUGUGGCCUCGGGGCUUGUGCUGGUGGCGGUGCAAUGGUCGCAGGUCGGACGGGUGGCGGUAGCUUGGCGAGGUCGUUCGGCGGCUUCGCGGUCGCGGCAUCGCAUCGCAUUUGCAGUGGCACGGCGGCGGUGGCUGGGCGUGGUGGUUUACAGCGGUUCUUUGGAGCGAGACAAGUGGGAGGUGGGUGUCGUCCGCGGGGUGGAGGAGACGAAACGGAAGCAGGCCGAAAGGUCUAGUACGACGAUACCAUUUGAGAGAUUCGUGGAUUACCAACGAUGGCACCGAGGUAGAUAGUGAUUAAUUAGCACUGCCAUGUCAUAAGCCUAGCAGGAUCUAGAAACUUGGCGACACUAGUAGAAAAUAGUACAACGCUGACGCCUUGUUUUUAUACCACAGGCGGUUUUAGUUAUCACACGCCUAUGGUAUAAAAAAGGCGGUGUCAGAACCGUCUGUGAAGAUGCAUUUUUAUAGGUGGUUUUCUUGACAAAACCGCCUGUAGAAAUUCCUAAGAAACCUCCACUAAAAAUUAUAUUUCUACAAGCGAUUGCUUAAGAAAACCGCCUGUAGAAAUCAUGUAUUUCUACAAGCGGUUGUUCAAAGGAACCACCACUAAAAAUCAUAUUUCUACAGGCGGUUGCUUAAGAAAACCACCUGUAAAAUUAAUUUGAAAUUGAAUUUUUUGAGCUUUUCAAAUGACCUCGUUUGAAUAAACUAUCAAAAUAAAAGUUGUAGAUCUCGAAAAGUUAUGGAAUUUUGUAGUCGAUAAUUUUUUCAUUUGAGAUCAUCUUGUCAUCGAAAACAACAUUUGAAUUUCUCAAAUUUAAAAUUCAAAUUUUGUAAAUGACCUCGGAUGGAGAAACUACCAAUAUAAAAGUUGUAGAUCUUGAAAAGUUAUGCAACUUUGUAGUUGACAACUUUUUUCAUUUGAAUCUGUUUAGGGCUUCAAAUAAUCAAUGUAUGUUCAGUUUAGUAAAUAUGUGG
rnacentral:lncRNA from 1 species